AUUGAACGCUGGCGGCAGGCCUAACACAUGCAAGUCGAACGAGUGGCGGACGGGUGAUUAAUGUCUGGGAAACUGCCUGAUGGAGAGGGAUAACUACUGGAAACGGUAGCUAAUACCGCAUACAAUCAGAUGUGCCCAGAUGGGAUGAGCUAGUGGUUGGGGUAACGGCUCACCUAGGCGACGAUCCCUUGCUGGUCUGAGAGGAGGACCGGCCACACUGGAACUGAGACACGGUCCAGACUCCUACGUGAGGAAGAAGUGGGGAAUAUUGCACAAUGGGCGCAAGCCUGAUACAGCCAUGCCGCGUGUGUGAAGAAGGCCUUCGGGUUGUAAAGUACUUUCAGCGGGGAGGCGUUACCCGCAGAAGAAGCACCGGCUAACUCCGUGCCAGCAGCCGCGGUAAUAC
rnacentral:rRNA from 1 species